rnacentral:rRNA from 1 species
UACGGGGGGAGCAAGCGUUGUUCGGAUUUAUUGGGCGUAAAGGGCGCGUAGGCGGCUAGAUGUGUCAAAGGUGAAAUCCCUCGGCUCAACUGAGGAACUGCCUUUGAAACUGUCUGGCUUGAGGCCGGGAGAGGGUAGCGGAAUUCCCAGUGUAGCGGUGAAAUGCGUAGAUAUUGGGAGGAACACCAGUGGCGAAGGCGGCUACCUGGACCGGUUCUGACGCUGAGGCGCGAAAGCGUGGGUAGCAAACAGG